UAAGAUAGCUCGUGGAAUUUAAACAACAUCCUCCUGUAUUUAGCGAUUGUACUUAGACGCCGAUUUCUCAACGAAGGUAAGGAUUUAUACAAGAUCGUGGAAAUAACGGAUAUAUAAGGACUACGGCUGUUCGUUAGACACAGUCACAUUGAUACAAUAGCACAAUGAUCAAGCUGGUAGUUCUGUUCGCACUGGUAGCCGUAGCAAGCGCGGGGGUGAUUGCUCCAAUCGUCCCUGUUGCUCACCCAGUGGUUCAUCACGUGGCUCCAGUGGUACCAGUGGCAUCGGUCCACUCCGCAGUGGUUCACCACAGACCCAUCGUCCACGCCCCGUUGGUACACGCACCACUGGUUCACGCUGCACCAGUGGUCCCUGUUGUUAAACACCAUUCACCAAUCCUUCUCCACCAUUAAGUAAAUAAAUUAUUAUAUGUA